GGGCGGCGGGCUGGCACCGCUGCUCAGUGACCCCCGUUCAUCUGCAGCUCCUCUCCCCUCGCAGGCUGUUGCUUGCAGUUACCGUCCCGGCGUCGGGAAGAAAAGCCGAAAUCUAGCCUUGUUCUGAGCCGGGCUGCUGGCGUUUGCCGAAGCUUAGGAGGGAAGAAGUUUACAGAGAGGACGUCCUUGCAUUUCAUGUUUCGUCAGCCUGACAGCAUUUUGGCUUUGAUUCCAUCUUGCUCCAACCUGUUCCGGGACAGUGACGGGGAGGAGAAGAGGCGCUAUCCCGCCAUGGCCCGUUACAGCCUCCAUAACCUCCUGGACUGGCUGUACGGGGGGGUGGACCCCAGCUUUGCUGGCAAUGGAGGGCCCGAAUGUGCUGCCUUUCUCUCCGGGCAGCAGCGCCUGCUGGAGAGCUUGGUCUUCCUCAGCGUGGGUUUUGUGGAGAUCCUUCUGUCCUUGUGGAAACUGAGGCAGCUGCAUUUCAGGGAGCUGGAGGGCCAUCUACUGCAGCAGCCCCAGGUUAAGCAGGAGAGCUGGGGCAAAAAUCUGCUACUGGUGGCUGUCUGCCUCAUCUUUGGGCUGGAGGUGGGGUUCAAGUUUGCUACCAAGACUGUCAUUUACCUGCUGAAUCCAUGUCAUGUGGUCACUAUGAUGCAGAUUUUUCUUCUUGCCUGUCCUCCAUGUCGGGUUGCAAUGAUUCUCUUCAGGUUACAGAUGCAUAUGUUAAAUGGGGCCCUCUUGGCAUUGCUGUUUCCUGUUGUUAAUACACGCCUGCUUCCAUUUGAAAUGGAAAUUUAUUACAUCCAGCAUGUGAUGCUUUAUGUUGUGCCCAUCUAUCUGCUGCGGAAAGGAGGUAUCUACACUCCGGAACCACUCUCCAAUUUCUGGUGGGCUCUUCUAUCUACUGGGCUUAUGUUUGUAUAUCAUUUUAGCAUCUUGCAGAUUCUGGGAUUGGUCACAGAAGUGAAUUUGAACAACAUGUUAUGCCCAGCCAUCUCAGAUCCUUUUUAUGGGCCCUGGUAUCGAAUCUGGGCAUCUGGACAUCAGACUGUCAUGACUAUGACUCAUGGGAAACUUGUAAUCCUACUGUUUUACAGUGCUGUCCCCCUCUUUAAAUGUAGCAUGGACUUGUUUAGACUCCCCACUAAGAAAAUAGACUGAAAUUUCUCCUCAGGGAAUAGUACAUACAGGAAACAAGAUACACCUAUACUCAUACUGGAAAAGAAAGAGGAGGGAUGAGAGGACUGUGUGUUUAUACUUCUUCCUGCAGUUUAUUGCCUCAGAAACACCUUUAUAAUCAAGGUGAAACUUAACAGCGCUUGGUCAUACUAACAUAAAUCAGUGAAAGGACACAGUCUAUGAGCACCCACCUACACUUGGUUCUGGUUCAGCUUCUUAGGGCUUGACAAACACUGUUGAUAAGCAAAGCUCACUUGUGCUUGAGCAGAUGCUGCCUUGCUGAAGCUGGGAGACAGGAGCAGUCAGUUCAUUUGCACAACUUAAGAUUACAGAGUACCUCAGCGUAGAAGUUUUAUCCCUCUGUCUCUGGCCUCAAUCAGGGUUUUGAUAUUUCUGUAUAUUUGAUAAUGUUUUGUAAAGCCUCAAUAGUAUUUUCCUUUCAGAAAUAAUAGCUGUUGCAACUAUUGUACUGUUAAGUCCCAAGUCCUGUGUCUAAACUGCAGGUGUUGGUUUCCUACACAUUUAUAGAUCAUGGAAAAUAUAGAUGUGCUCUUUUUCUUGCUGUUGCAAUUGUUUCACUACAGGCAGACUUUUAUGAAUUAAAUUAGUCUUAGCAGUUAAAGCUCUGAAAAGGCCAAAAAUCAGGAAGAGGGCAUGUCAGCCCUUCUGUUGUGAGGUAGGAGGUUUCAACAGGCAGACAGAGGUCAGCCUUGAUGUUUUCAUAGUUACAGUGACAAGAUACAUAACACGUCUGAGUUUUGUGAUCUCAUACUCAAAGUGAUAUUGCUAUAAAUCAGUCUUGCAGCUUUUAACCAAGGUGGUUUUACAAAUGAUUUUAUUUUUCUUCAGGGUCAGUUUUGUACUUUUUUAAAAAAUUUAUUUCUGCAUUUACUGAUUCAUUAUCUCAAUGCUGCAGAGGACGCAGCAGGCAGAACAGUGAGCAUGCCCACACCACUCUCACCAACGGACCUGUGCUAGGGAGCUGGAGCUGUUCAUGCACUGGGCCGAGGCACAAAGCUGUCUUUGGACACUUGCAGCUCCAGUUACCUAACUCUCUUGUUCAGGCAUCACGUUAUCCAGGCGCCGAAUGGAAUAGCAGGGGCAAGGAUUGAUGUGGGGAGGCUGAACUGCCGCACAUGCUGUUAGUUCUAAAUUAUUUGUAAAAGUGUUCUAAAUUUUGUAAACUUUUUAAUGUGAAAUAUUUGCAAAUAAGGGGUAAUUUGUGUAUUUGCUUUUGUAUUUCGGUCUAAUGUUGUUUUUGUUGUUGUACUCUUAAGUCCAGCUCACUGGGCAAAUUGUUGUUAAAUCUUUAUAUUAAAAGAAAUA